UUUAAUCGUAAGGAAUCACCGGAAGAAACAUCCUGCCAAAAAUUCUUAAAAACUUUGGAAAUAAGCAUGAUUUGCCUUUACAAUUUAGGUUAUUGGUAUAAUUAUUGGCGUCGCAACUGCUUACUUUUUCAACAUACAUUUUUCCUUCUUUUCUGCAUAGGUUGUUCUUUCAAAUUGCACUUUUCAGUAAAUUAUCGACAUCAAAAUUUCUUACAUUUUCUACGUAGUUUUUCCUUCUUUUCUGCAUAGGCUGUUCUUUCGAGUUACACUAUUCAGGUAAUUAUCGGCACCACAAGCACAGGUAUUUAGAAAUUUGAAAAAAAUAUUAAAUAAAUAUUUUAGCAAUUUUAACACCGGCUGUAAUGCCCAUAAUUUCCCGAAAAGUGCAAUUCGAAAGAACAGCCUAUGCAAAAAAGAAGGGAGAAUCUAUGUUAAAAAAGUAUAUACGCAGUUGCGAUGCCGAUAAUUUCCUGAAAAGUGCAACUCGAAAGAACAGCCUAUGCAAAAGAAGGGAAAAUUGUUGAUGAACAUAUAAGCAGUUGUAAUGCCAACAAUUCUUAUAACGACUCAAACAUUUUUUUAACGAAGAAGGAAACGUAACACUCUGAUAAUUGCCAUCGUACUUCGAUUUAACGGUUUAUUUGAGGGUUGACCAACUGCCAAUCCGCGGCGCUCGCAUCGUUUUUGUUCGAGUUUGACACUACUGCCACCUAGUUGAUGGUUGGCCAAAUUCAGUCCUUUUAGAAUUAAGCGAAUCUGUUUCCGAGACUAAAAUUUGAAUCGAAAAAUGUUCGAAGUGUUACGUCUGUUUGUCUGUGGUGACAUUGUUUUCCU